rnacentral:rRNA from 1 species
GUAAGGGAUAUUGCGCAAUGGGCGAAAGCCUGACGCAGCAACGCCGCGUGGAGGAUGAAGGCUUUCGGGUCGUAAACUCCUUUGGCGCGGGACGAGGAAGGACGGUACCGCGUAAACAAGUCACGGCUAACUACGUGCCAGCAGCCGCGGUAAAACGUAGGUGGCAAGCGUUAUCCGGAUUUACUGGGCGUAAAGGGUGUGCAGGCGGACCGUCAAGUGGUGUAUGAAAGCGCUCGGCUCAACCGGGCAAGGGUAUGCCAGACUGACGGACUAGAGUCUGAAAGAGGGUGGUGGAAUUCCGGGUGUAGUGGUGAAAUGCGUAGAGAUCCGGAGGAACCCCAGAGGCGAAGGCGGCCACCUGGUUCAGCACUGACGCUCAGACACGACAGCAUGGGGAGCGAACGGGAUUAGAUACCCGUGUAGUCC